GUCGCUUUAUUUCAAGAGGGGGUGCAUCUGCAAAGAGUUUCUUCUCGUCAGGUUUAAUUUAUAACCUGAUUUCCAAACAUCCUGAUCACCAUUCAGAAUAUGAGAUGAACAUGAACGUGGCACGGAACAGGAAAAUCCCUCUGAGCAUGCCCACUCUGUCUUGCGGCGGAUGUUGCAGCCGAGUACACAAACAGAUGCUGGAGGAAGUUUCACUUCUAACUUUUAUCGAUAGAUUUAACAGAAAUCAACAUUGCAGACUCAUGCUCAGCUCCCGCUCUCUGCCUCUUCAAAGUAAACAUAGUGGCCCUCAUUUAUCAAGCUUGCGUACGGCAGAAAACUUGCGUACACCUUGCGUAUGACAAUUUUGACGUGAGGAUCGGCAUUUAUCAAUCUGCACGUGAACGUAUGCUACAACCAAAUCUCACGACAGGUCUGACAUCGUGUAUGCAAAUUUGAGUCCGUGUGGAUCUGCGGUGCAGCAAAUGUCUGUCUUGAAAUAAUUGAUAAACAAACCUAAAUAAAAUAAAAUAAAAUAAAAUAAAUUUGUUUUGUCCUUGGUGAAUAGGCCUAUCCGAUAACUCUGCCCAGAAACAAUGCCACAGAGCAGGGGCCUCAUGUAUCAAAGCUUGCAGCGCAAGAAAACCUUGCGUACGCCAAAAUCGGCGCACACGUCCAGAUUUAUCAUCGCGAAACGAGCGUCGGUUCCAGCGCUAAUCAACGCAAAGUCAGGAGGUGGUGUAGAAAUUGGCGUUGAGCUGGAUAUUUGCGUUGACUGUGAUUCGCACUUUGGCAACGCUGUGUGGCGGUGUUUGGUGACUCACUAUGUGACAAGCGUGCACCACAUCCCCGUGGCCGGGCAGCAUGUCGCCCCACAUGACGAACCAGCAGCAGACGGAGGGAUGCGAGCUGAUCCCUGCCGGGCCGCCGUCCUCGCGCGGGAGAAUCUCAUCGCCACAGUGUGAAUGGGUAAGAAGUGAAUACACAGUUCAAUGAGCCAAAUUAAUUUAUUUUCUCCACCAGACGCUCGAGGAAAUUUACGAGCCGGUCCAGCCGCUCAUUGAUCCCCGCGAUCCCCCUGAUGAUUUCUUCCUGCGAUUGCAGGACCCCCUCCGCGCGGACCCUUCCACUGCGUCCGGGUGGUCCAGCGGAAGCGCCGCGGCUGGUGGACGAUCCACCGCUUGUCGGCGCGCUGGUGCUGAUGCUGGUGCUGGGGCCGGGGGCCGGGGUGGCCCGAAU